UACGAAGGGUGCAAGCGUUAAUCGGAAUUACUGGGCGUAAAGCGUGCGCAGGCGGUUUGUUAAGUCCGCUGUGAAAUCCCCCAGCUCAACCUGGGAAUUGCAGUGGAUACUGGCAAGCUGGAGUAUGGUAGAGGAAGGUGGAAUUCCCGGUGUAGCAGUGAAAUGCGUAGAGAUCGGGAGGAACACCAGUGGCGAAGGCGGCCUUCUGGACCAAUACUGACGCUCAUGCACGAAAGCGUGGGGAGCAAACAGG
rnacentral:rRNA from 1 species